GAUGAAGAACGCAGCGAAAUGCGAUACGUAAUGUGAAUUGCAGAAUUCAGUGAAUCAUCGAGUCUUUGAACGCACAUUGCGCCCCCUGGUAUUCCGGGGGGCAUGCCUGUCCGAGCGUCAUUGCUGCCCUCAAGCACGGCUUGUGUGUUGGGCCUCCGUCCUCCUCCCGGGGGACGGGCCCGAAAGGCAGCGGCGGCACCGCGUCCGGUCCUCGAGCGUAUGGGGCUUCGUCACCCGCUCUUGUAGGCCCGGCCGGCGCUUGCCGACACAUCAAUCUUUUUUCCAGGUUCACCUCGGAUCAGGUAGGGAUACCCGCUGAACUUAAGCAUAUCAAUAAGCGGAGGA
rnacentral:misc_RNA from 1 species